GUGUAGUAUGAAAGGAGAGACGUUUAGCACUCCCCUAGACAAGGACGGAAUACACAUAUAAAUGGUAAGGCACUGUCGCCUUUGGCGACGCUUACCACCAUUUUUUU